CUGUUAGGACCUAGCACUGAGUGUAUAGAACUCGUAUAUGAAUAGUUGUAAAAAUGUAAUUAUAAGUUUUAAAUAUUGCAUUGAUAAUACAUAGAAUCCAAGGCGCAUUCCUAGACGGAUAUAGUAUUUUAUAGACAUAGUUAACAAAUCUAAAAGUUGUAGUUUUGAUAAGUAGUGGAUGCAGAGUAUGUGCAAGAAGGUGGGGGUUAAUAAAGAUGAGGUAGUUUUUUUUUUCCACCUGUAGUAAUUGUGGCUAUGAAGUGUUUGUUUGCAAACAAUACAGUGGGCUGUUGUGGUGAUAACAUCUUUUUUUAAUUAGUAAUUGUAUGCGAAUGUGGAAAGUGUAGUGUAUCCGAACAUUAUUUUGUAGGAUGUAACUUUACUAAGAAAACCUACAUCCUAAGUUUCAUGCAUACUACACACAUCAUAUAUAAACUUCCCGUGGGUCUAUCUGGCUUGAAUUUAACUCGAUAAAUUUUAUCAAAAGGAAAAUAAUCUGAUCUAUCUUGAUUAUUUGAAUAAGGUAUGUGCUCUCUGCAUUUACAGAUAGACCCAUUAAAGAACAAGGUUUUUUUGAAAAUGAACUAUGGAAAAUGCACGGCCUGACUGAAUCAUUUACACUAAAUCAUAAGAACUGUGAUCCGUUCAAUGCAGAACUUCCUUUCUCAAUUAGAAUUUAGCUAUGUUCUUGACAAACUGCAAUAUAAAUUAUCCGAAGGUACACAACUGGUGUUUAUUAUAUUAAGAGCAAAUAUGCACAUCUGCCAUGGCAUUACUUAUGGAGUCUUGAAUGGACUCUAGUGUUACUGAUCCCAGGGCUUAUAAUCGUCACAGUAGGAUACUUCAGCAGAUGAGCUGACCUUCUCUUGGCAAUCUGCUCCACAGUUGUCAAAGAACCAAUCAAAAUGUAAUUUCAACCAAGACAGAGAGAAAGGAGAGAGAGGAAAUGACGGGUGAUAAGCUCAGGGUGAUUCUUCAGAGUGCUAGUAGCAGCCAGAGAUGAAGUACAAAGCAGUAGAACAUCUCUUUCUGUUGAUUAUUCAGAGCAGCAGGGUAAAAAGUGAAACUGGAUUAGGACACAUUCCUACUUCAGAAAAGAUAGGUGAAGAGAAUAUUUGCUGUACAUUCUUCCGUGAUAAUUUCAGUUUGAAAGUGGAUGGAGGCACAAUUUAACCUUUGCAGCAUACAACUCAGAAUAGCACAGUACGAUGCUUCACUGGAAUGAUUAAUUUAUAUUUUGAACUCAUGAAACAGUAAAAAUUGAAGUACUCCAACACAUUUAACCAGUCUGAACCAAAAUAGUACACAGAGUAGAAAUCAGGAACCAUGGUUUGCAGAGCAAUAAAGCAUGAAAAUUCAGCAAAUAUACUGAAUAUUUCAACAUUGGCACAAUAACAACUAACUUCAAGGAGACAAGGACUCAAGGAAUAAUCCCUGCAAGUAUGUUCAACUGAUAGGACAUAUACAUUUCUGGAAUGUAAAUGAACUAAAUUUGUUUGGCAAAAUGAAUUUGUCAGUAACAUUUUAGAGCACUGCUGAGUGGGAAAAGCAUUCAGCUGAUCACUCUGACUAAUUAUGUGGGCAAAAAGCAAUUUGAGAAGAUGGUGACGGCUAAACUUAUUAUCUUAAUUCGGAUUGGUAUUUUUUUAGCUAUCAUAGGUGGUUUUGUUUAGAGGUGUGGACAGAAGGUAGCAAAAUUUCUUUGGGAGGCGGACUUAACAAAGUGUAGUCUGUUGAUUUACGUGAAAGGAUUUAUCAAGAGUUAAUAUUGUGACAAACCAAAUCUGGGUUCGUGAUAAUUAAGACAGUUAAUGGAGCAAAUCAUUUUAGAAUGAUUCGUUGUCAGAUUGUAAAUCAUGAUAUGUGUCACUAAAAUAAUCUAGACUCACAACAUGUAAGUAUGUGACUGCACUACCACACAUCCUUGCACACAGAGUGAGAAUUAAUUAGUAGAGUGGUAGAGCAUAUAUAAUUAAAAUGACAGGCUUGAGAAAAGGUGGUGCAAAUCAACAGGGAAAAAAUUGAAUUAGGAGCAAACCUGACUUCUUUAUCAAAUCCAAAAUGAGCCCCAAAGUAAAAUGCCACACAGUAUCCAUGAAUCACUACGGACAGCUAUCAGGGACAACCAAUCUUUCCAAGAACGUGCAAAGAAUAGAUUGGAAAAUCACAGGUAUGCCUGAAGGAUCAAGUAACUUUUCAUCUCGUUGUUUGCCACAAGAUACAUCUUGUUCACCAAAUGAGUUGCAUAUAAAAUAAUUGCAUCAUUGAAUUUUGCUCAGUGGUACGAAUUAUCUGCAAUGAUUAAGUGAAGAAGAUAACUGCUCAGAGUUUCCCUGGUACAAUUAAAAAAUACGAACACCAGUAUGAAAUACAAAGCUGCUGGAUUGUUGCAAAAAUAACAUGAAUAAUAACAAAACAGGAAAAAUGGAAAACAAAUUAGCGUAUGUAGGAAUUGCAUAGUUAGCAAUUAAAAAACAGAUUUCUAGUGUUUGUCCAUACCGUGAAAGAUAUUAUCUCCAAUUGUUCAACAAUAAAGGGAACUAAACCGAUAGGGGAUUAUGUAAUCCAAAUAAACCUGUGAUGAAACCGAAGGAGCUAGUUCAGCGAAAUGUAGUAGUUAAUCUGCUAGUCCAAAUAUUGUUGUAUCGGAAAGAAGGAGCAGAUUCGGAUACUGAAAUCUGUUGAAAAUUGAUAACUGGGCCACAAAGAAAUCUGCAAUAAUCACAAUAAUGAUUGGAAAGAGAAUUAGCUCGAUUGGGGACAAAGUGACGAACCUGCACUAGGAAUAAUGGAGAUCUAGUGGAACAACGUCCUAGUUAGCCGAGAGGAUGGAUCCAGCAAUUUCUUCAUAUAUAGAAAUGACGAGGAUUGGGCCUGGCUGCAUAGACAGCAGAGGCAUAUGCCACCAGCCCGUACUGCAUCAGUGCCAAUUCAGCGAAGAAGAAGGCCAUGUGCUCCAUCAGCAUUCACCAAAAGAAAUCUUGAGUACACGCUUAAACUUGUCGCUUAGCAAUGAAAUAUAAUCUGGUGGUAAACAGAAACAAACAAAAGCCAUGGCUCUUUACCUCCUUGUCACUUUUGUUAUCUGCAGACGCAGAUAGCAUCAUAAUGAAGACAUAUGGUGUAGGAAUGGUGAGAUUCCACUGAAGCUUAUUCAGAAUCCCCUUCUCCAUUGCAAGAAUCUGUUCCCUAGUGUAUGCACUAUCUGAUAUGAAGAUGAAGUCGUUCACCUGCAAAUACAUACACAGAGAUCCAAUCAGAACAAGUCCCUGCUAGAAAUGGACAGUGCAGAGCAAAGGGGAUAAAAUGUUGCUACCUCUGGGGCCCAAAUCUCCUCGUACUUGCAAUCUAUCAGCAUGGCAGAAACGGCGACCAGUUGCAGCUCCCUCCGCUGCACUUGCUGCAUCGAGAGAGAGAUUUGUGGCGCACUUGUCGCUUGUGUGUAGGCGGUGCCGCCGAGCAGCAAUUCCAGAGCUCCACGCCCCAGGACCCAGCCAUCCUCGGAGGCCGCAGCGUCUCAAAUAGCAUUGAGGUAGACCACGAGGAACUUAGACAGCCGGUCGUAUUCCUUCUCCCUCUCCGCCACCAUCGCCCUCGACUCGCUGUUCGCAGCAGCGGCCUCCCUCGCCGGCUGCUUCUUGGUGCUUGAAUCCUUAUUUUUCUUCUUCUUUAUAAGUAACAAUAGGACGAGUAAAUACUUGACAAGAAAAAAGUUGUCGCAAGGGCGGUGGAACUGAAAUAUAGUCUAUAUCGGCUGUAUUUUGUGGUGAUUAGUAUAAAUCAGCAUUAAUGAAUGGUGAUGAGAUGUAAGUUCUGCAUGGAAAGUAAAGCCAAACCAAGCUCAAAGCACCGACAGAAGCAAAAUAUAUAAUUUGUGGAUAUCAUGAUGACGGAAUAAAACAACCAAUUUGAGAUAAUUAUUAUUAUUUCAAGUACUCCCUCCAGCCAAAUUUAUUUGGCAUUGUUUCUAACGCCGAAUAAAUUUGACUAGAGUCUAGAGGUAGUACAUCCUAACACCAAAAAUCUAUCAAGAUGACCCUUUGUUUUCCAAGAACUUCUAAACUACCAAUACCAAGAUGCCACAAGACUACAUAGUUUUAUGUUCGAGAAAAACGACUACACAAUUUUGCCCUGUUAAAAGUAAACAAACAAGAAUUCAUAUGAAGGUAAAUAGAACUUUGGUGGCACUCCCUGACUCCAAUAAAGAACAUAAACAUGAAUAUAAUAAAUAAGCAAAAGUUGGUUCCCAAAUAGUUGCAAAGAAAUGUGAAAAGCAAGCAAUAAGAUUCAGGGGAAAUCAAAGGACAGCAAUCCUUACAGUUAAGAUAAUCUUCAAACCCAAAAUCAUCUAAGGAACCAGUCAGUGCCUCAUAUCCUAGCAUAGAUGACGGCAAUGCACCAGGGGGCCUUUGGAACCUGGCAACAGAUAAAUCAUCAAUCAAAACAUCUUUCAUGUUAGCCUGCCCAAUUAAAAGCAAUGGAGAUGAGUUGUGCGUGCUGUUUUUCUCCUAUUUGCAGUGUAUUGAUGUGCUAAUUGUUACUAGAAGGGGCAGACAAACAAAAACAACAUCAAGAUACUGUGAAUUCAACCAGACCAAGGGAUUCAAGCAUUCUGAGUGAUCCAUACUAGAACAUACAAAGCAUCAACAAAAUCUUAGUAACCUGAGCAUAUCGAUAUGUGGAGAUGCUCAAAAUACUACACAUGCACAAUAUUUUGAGAAUCAACUAUUCUAACCAGGAAAAUUGGCGUAUAUAACAAGAAGUUUCAGAAGGAAUUUGCACACUGUCAGCAGAAUACAACUGAUGACCACCAACAAUAACAUCACUGAUAUAAUACGCACAUAGGAAAAGAGUUGCAGACUUGCAGUAAAUGCAAAGAGCUACUACCAGAUUUACAACUAGACACACACACACACACACAAAAAAAAAAAAAAAACGAGCUAACUGCAAGGGCAAUCUUAACAAACACAGGGAGGAUAUAAACCACAUCGAAUUCAAAUAUGCAUAUCUCGUGCCCAUAAUAAGCCAGCCCACUUAAGUUUACGGACCUAACAGUUCCAACAAGACAUGUAAUACUGCCUGCUCAGAUGGAACUACUAGUGCCUAUCUAUCAACUUGGACAGAUGGUGGUAUUGCAGCGGAAAUUACAUGGGGAUAGGACAGUGAAUUACUUGGAGAGGAUUUGGGCAUCAAGAUCCUUGCGGAUGUUGAAGGCGGAUCCGUAGAUGGCUUCCGCGCCGAACCUCUUCUUGUCCGCCCAGAACUUGGCCUCCUGCGCGCGCGGCGGGGAUUCAGCGUGUUAGCUAGGGUUUCGAGGGCGAGAGGGGGGGAGAAGAAGAAGAAGAAGAAGAAGAAGAAGAAGAAGACCUUGUGGACGCUGGCCUGGAGCGGGUGCGGCGGCGCGAGGUCCCCCUUGACGCUGUCGUUGACGCCGAAGCGGACGACGUCGUGGUUCCCGCCGAUCUCCUUCUUCACCACGCCGCCGCUCGCCAUCGUCGCCUGCGAAGCUCUCUCUCUCUCUCUCUCUCUCUUCACUCAUCACUCAUUCUUUCAUUACUCAUGGAACGGUCCAGAUCAUCUCUGUGUAAAAUCCAACGCUCAGGAUCGUCUCCACCUCUCCACCGCGCCCUCCUCUCCGCCCCCUUUCUCUCGCUCUCACGCGUCCCCGCCCCUCCCCAACCGCGCGCCGCUCCCCAACCCUAAUCUCUCCCUCUCACGCGGCGCCACCGCCGUCGUCGCCGCCCUCGACUGCCGCUGCUCCGCCGUCGUCGCAUCCGUCGUCUCGCCGCCACCGAUCCCCGCGCCACCACCAUCGCCGCCGCCCUCGACUGCCGCCACUCCGCCGUCACCCAUCGUCGCAUCCGUCGUCGCCGCCGCCCUCGACUGCCGCCGCUCCGCCGUCGUCGCCGCCACCCUCGACUGCCGCCGCUCCGCCUUCGUCGCAUCCGUCGUCUCGCCGCCACCGAUCCCCGCCGCCGGCUCGCCCUCAACCAAUCCCCAUCACCGUCGUCGCAUCCGUCGUCGUCCAGGAUUUACGUCACCGUUCCGUCACCGCACCCACACGAUGAUCCCCGGCGACGGAACGGGUCAUGGUGGCCAGGGAGGAUACUCGGGCCCGACGAGCUCCCGGCGUCUCAGGUAAUGUCGCCGAAGACAAGAACUCCGGUCAAGCUCCUCGGCCGUGAGGACGCAAGCGUGUGAGGGUACCCCUUUUCCCUCAAAUUUAAUUAUGUACUCUGUUACUUAGUUCUAUAAUUCAUCUGCUCGGUUAGUGUCCCAUCACAAUCGCUUGGUCAGGAUUGAAUGUUCUGUGGAUUGGAUUGGGAGUUGUUUGCUCAAGGAGCAAUUAGGGAAUAUUUUAGUUGGUUGCGGCUGCAAAUACCAUCAGAACAACAAUGGAGUAUUUAACAAGAGCCAACAGCCUUUUGUUUCAGAUGAAUUCCCUCUGAAGUCACCCGUCAAUUGACUAAUGUUAGACAAUCUACCAUCUAGAGGAGAUCAUUCCUGAACCCAAUAUGGUGAUAAGCCGCCUCUGUUGAUGUGUUACACUCAUUGUUACUUGUUCUGAGGUGUACACCUUGCUUGCUAUAUUGGAAGAGUGAAUUUAAUUCACAUGGAUAUAAUAUUUUGCAAUUUUUGCAUAUGAAAUUAUAUGCAUGUUCUUGUGAUGUGAGAAGGUUAAAUUCCUUUGUGGGAUGCCCAUUUAAUUUCUGGUUGCUAAUUUUACUGAAGAAUGAGAGUAGGUUAUGAUGUCUUGGGUUUUGAUAAGUAGGGUGUAAAUUUAUAUAGUACAAUAAACAUGCGUGCUGGUCAUUCUGUUAUGUUGGAUUGAAACAAGUGAUGCUGGCAAUUCAGGUGCAGACCAGCUUUUGGUUCUGUAAAUUAUUUUCUCAAUUUAAAUAGAUCAUGUAUUGUGAUGAUGUGAAUACAAUAUUAUGAUGUUAUCAUGUGUUCAACAGAGCUUAAAAAAUACUCACAAACUGGAUUCUCGUAGUUAUACAGUUUAAAUAAGUUAUAAGCACGAUUUGGGUUUGAUGUCUUCCAUUUGAUUUUUGGCGCUCCUCCCUCUUGCUCCGAUCUGGCCUUAGUGAUGCCGCCCUGUUUUCGCGGUUGACCCCGGCACCAGCCCCUUCCUCUGGCCACGUGCGAGUUCGAGAUUCCAAGUCCCGGUGGUCGGAUUUCUCAACCCCGGCACUGGCCUCGCACAGGCUGCGAUCCGCUCGCCAACAAGGUAAGUCGUUAUUGGGAUGUUUAUAUCUGAAAAUUUAGAUAAUUUCUUUUGAACUUCAUUGCUUGGUCAACAACAUAACCCAGGAAACCAAUUAAAUUGAUAGACAUGUUGUGUGCUCUCUUAAGAGAUCAACAUCCAAAUUGACAUCCAAGUUAAAAGAAGAAUUUUAUUAUCUAAAUCAUGAUGCCAAUAUUGAGAGUUUCUUUUACUUUCCGUUGUAUACAGUUUCUGUGAUGUGUACCGAAGGUUAUAUACAUAAUGAGAUUUUACUUCAAUGGUGGAAUUGUGCUCUAUUAAACCACAUGGAAAGUUCUGAUUUGUGCAGUGAUAAUUUUUCCCUUUAAAAAGUCAAAUUUGGUUUACAUUUUUAUUCAUGACACCUGAAUAUGUAAAAUGCCAUGCAUUAGUAAUGUGCAAGCACUUUCAAUGUAUUGUCUAAACUCUAAAGGAACAACUUACCAGUUUAUUAGUGAAUUUAUGAAAAAAAAUCAGAUGUUUAAUGUCUGAAUAAAUUCAGAUUCUCUUCUCUGCUUCAUGCCUUCAUCAGGAUGAGGUAGUUAGUGUUGUACUGUAGUUGACAAAUCGAUUUGUUCGCAUCGUGAUAAGGCGCAGAAGGUAAGGCGGAAAUUGCCUUGGUUUAUCCUCUCCCCCUAAAUUUCCUCUGCUGCGAUUGGUUGAUUGGUUAAUGAAAAACCCGAUACUUGCAAGCAGAUUCUGAUUAGAUUCUAAUUAUUGGGAUUUUCUAGAGUUAGUUUAAGGAAAAGUGAGUUAAUUAUCGACGAUGAAAUAUACACUUCCAUGAUUAGAAUUAUAUAUCGAAUAGACAAAUAUGUGUAUGUAUUAAAAAUAUCUGACAAAAUGGACUGUAUGAUUAUAAUGCCUUUCAACCAUUGCUUUGUGCAAUGCUCAUUAUAUCUCCCGGAAAUUAAUUGAUUUCUGCUUUUGUACCAUGUGCGAUGUUUACUUUUAAACUGCUCAGGUUCAUUCUAUCUUAUUUUCUGGUGCUUCUGAAGCGAUGUAUAUUUCUUCAUUUUUAAACUGCUCAGGUUCAUGAAAUCAGGCGAUGACUACCUGCCACAAUGCGAAGACAGACGGUCAGCCGCCUACACAAUAGGCUCCUACACUGCCACCAUCACUGAAUGCACAUCUGGUCCUCCCUUAUUUUCGUUGGUAUGUAGUAUGUACGUAAGAACUAACAAGUUUAUUCAUUCAAAGAAAAACUAACAAGUUUAUGUUAAGCUUCCUUUUUAAUAAUAUUUUACAUUACUGAUAUUUAGUGCAGUGAAAAAUGCUGCAAAUCUCUGAUAUUUAGUGCAGUGCAAAAAUGAUACAUAGCUUGAUUGGAUGCUCUUUCUCAUUAUGGCCGACUGCCUGAUGGAAUUUUUUCCAUGUGAAAACAAAUGUUUACUCUGUUUCAGGCUUGUGUAGAGAAGAAAAGGUGGAAUUGUGGAAGGUAAUCGCGGGGAGUUUUGGUUCAUUUUUUGAAGAUUUCUCUAAUUGGUACGUACUAAUUAACCAAUUGGAGUUUUGGUCUCGUUACUCACUGUAAAAACAUGAUGGUAAAAAAACAGUUUAAUCCUAUUGGUACUCUUUUAUCCCAUUGAACAUUUUGUCGUUGUGUCAUUGACUGCUAUCAAAAAGGAAAAACAGUGGAUGACUCUUUCAGGAAAUAUAGGAUAGCCCCAUUGAUGGCACAUUUUGAACCGUUCAUGAUCCCUGAUUUAUUCUCUUGACCAUAUUCUGCACUGCUAUACUUGCUAAGUAAUACAAAUAUAUUUAUAUCCCUGUAGCAUGUGAGUUACUCUAUAAGACAAUUAUUAUUUUUACAUAACUAAUUAACAUUUUUACUAAACUCUUUUAUUUUGACAAUCACUCUAAGACGUAUGCAAUUGCGUCUUACGAAAGCAAGUGACCCUGAGAGCACUGAUCUUUGUAAAGAUGCACACAGCUUACUGCAGGAGAGGAUAACAAAAUAGAAGUCUAUAAAAAUCUAUAGAAGGGAUCAAAUAUGCUUGACUGAAUGAUAGAGAUGGAAAAAUGAAGAAGUGAUGACUGUUGUUUCACAAUGUAUUCAUUUCAUCUAUCCUAUAAUUGUAGUGGUGUGUCAAUGUGUGAUACUUCUAGAUUUUUCCAGCUCCAUUUUGCCAGCUCCGUGUGUGUUAAUGAUUCAGAAAUCGUGGAAUUGCUUGGAACAUGUACUUUAUUCUCAACCAUUUUUUGUGGAAGUGUGGAUGUACAUUGUCUAAUAUAUUGGUAUUGAAGUGAUUAAAUAUGAUUAUUGAUGGUUUUGAAUUAAUAUUUUAGAUAAUAUAAUAUCACUGUACUUUGCCUUAAUAUCUGACCUAGAUCAAAAUAAAGCUCAAUUGGGUGGAUUCUAGGAAACAUAUUUUUACUACUCCCUCCAUUUCACAUUAUGUGUCUAGAUUCAUUAACAUCUAUAUGAAUGUGGGCAAUGCUAGAAAGUCCUAUAAUAUGAAACGGAGGAAGUAACGUGUAAUUAGACGGAUCAUAUUCGGGCUCGAUGCACUGUAUAUUAGAGGCAGCCCAUGUCUGACUCUGACUCAGUUUCCUCUUCCUGGUGGGCUGGUCUAGGCUGGGCCGGCCCAGCCCGACUGCUGCAUGGAUGGCCAACGAGAUAUUCGUAUUCGGCAACAGUUAAUAAAAUUCUUAGUUGGAUUUUUUUUUUCACGCGAGUUCACAUGUCCUCACAAUCUAUCUACAUACUAUAUGUAGUUUGCACGAAUAUUAGGGCAGAUAUAUUAGGUGAUAACAAAAUGUACCAUGCAUGAUGUUUACUUUAUAUGAUUUUUUUUUAUAAGUGUAAGAUACCUUGUUUAUGUAAUUUUUCUAUUUCUUAUAUAUAUAAAACUUUGAGGUUAUCAAUUUGGACGUGACUACACAACUAGUGGUAACUGGUUUGUCUCACUCCAUCUAUGAGAGAUCCUAUCCACCUAUACUUCAAAUAAAAUUUUCUCUUAAACUACUCAUCCGAUCUACGAUUCGAUUACACCGUUGUGUUCGUAACAAUUAAAUCUUUAUAACAAGAUCUCACGUGAUUAUAUUUUGAUGAAAAAUUGUAAAUUACUUUUAUAAUAUAUCUAAAUUACUUUUAGAUUUCACUAAAUUACUUCUUAGACGUAUAAAAGUAAAUUAAUAAAAAAUAAAAGUAAUUUACAUAUAUUAUAGAGUAACUUAUAAAAAGAAGUAGCUUUAAUGCAUGCCUUUUUUCAAUGGACGUGACUACAUAGCUAGUGGUAGCCACUCCAUCUAGUGUCUCCUUUCAACUUGAAAAAUACGAUAGUGUGUCUUUUUUAACCUCUUUAAUAACUUAUAUAUUUUAAAUCACAUAUUGUUUUGAAAAUCUAUUUGCACCAUUGUGCUCCACUUAAAAUAUGCGAUAAAACAAGAUCCAUAUUAAAUAUAUUCAAAUAUUUUAUUAAUUUAAAAGUAAGUUAUUACAUGUUAGGAAGUAACUUCCAUGUUAUCAGGAAGUAACUUUUACAUCUUAUACAUGAUUAAUUCUCAUUAGUUACUCCAUCAAUGUUAUUUACAAUCCAUCAAAUGUUUUAUCUUCUUUUCUUGUACUACAUGAAAAACAAAAGUGAAAGGGAAAAAACAAGAGAGAAUGCACUCAGUACUACUGAGUUUGUCACCCUUCUACAAUCUACCACUGACAUUGUAAAGUUCUAUAAUAUACCACCGUGUUUUGUUCAACCUCUACUAUGUGCCAUCACUGUCUAGUUAACCUCUGUUAGAGCUCUAAAAAGACCUAUUUGCCCCUAGCCCAUUCUACAGGCAUGGCUACCUCCUUGUUGUCAUAAGGAAGGCCAGCUCCUUGCUGGCGGUGGGCGACCGGUUGCAGCGGCGCUGGGGACGACGGUUGCAGUGGCGUCGGGGACGACAGUGAUGGGGAUGGAAGCGCUAGGACACCGGAAGUGGAGGGGCGGUGGGCGGUUGGACGAGGCAGCGGUGCUGCGAGCAACGAAGCCAGGACGCCGGCGGUGGAGGUGUGGUUGGUAGAGAAUGGGGAGGGCGGCGGCGCUGCGGGCGACGGCGCCAAUACGCCGACGGUGAAGGCGUGGUGGGCAAAGGACGGGGAGGGCGCUGGCGCUGCGGGCGACGGGGAGGGCGGCGGCGCUGCAGAUGACGGGGAGGGUGGCAGCACUGUGGGCGAUGACGCCAGGACGCCGACGGUGGAGGCAUGGUGAGCAGAGGAAGGGGAGGGCGGCGGCGCGGCGGGCGACGGCGCCAGGAUGCCGGCGGUGGUGGCGUGGUGGUGAACGACGGGGAGGACGGCGGCGCGGCGGGCGACGGGGCCAGGAUGUCCGCGGUGGAGGCCUAGUGGGCGGACAAAGGGAAGGGCGGCGGCGCUGCGGGCGACAGCGCCAAGAUGCUGGCGGUGGAGGCAUGGUGGGCGGCGGCGCCAGGAUGCCGGCGGUGGAGUCGUGGUGGCUGGAUGACGGGGAGGGCGGCGCCUGGUCGGCGGCGGUGAGGAUUUAGGAAAUUUGGGCUAGGGUUUUAGUCAAUUAAUCAAAGGGCAUUUCAGGCAUUAAGAGAAAAAUCAACGCUCCAAACGGAGGGCAACUAACGGUUUGCUGAUGGUGAUGGUACGCAGUAGAGAUUGAACAAAACACGAUGGUGUGAUGACCGGUCAGGCCAUGAGUUUUUCUUUUGGACUGGAAGUUAUUUAAUUAAUCAUUUAUAGAAUUUAUAUUAAUGUGCAAGUCAUUUGACAUGUAAAGCAAAGGAGGGAACUAAACUUUCCUUGAAUAAACCAUGUUUGGAGUAUUUUCAUGUGAUUCGCCAUCCCUAAAAUAUUGUCUGAAAUUUUCUCGGAACUCAACCUUUAAUUUUAACGAUGCCAAUGGUUACGCCUUUUCUAGAACUCUUUGGCCAUAUAGUUACACGGAAAGGAUUGGUGCUUCUAGCUAGACAUAUAUGCUAACAUCUGAUGGCAUGUCGAGACAGGUGCACGCGUACAGUCAUUCCAUGGAUCGCAUACAAUAGCUACUAAAUCACAUUAGUUGUUGCAAAGCCAUGACAAUAAAAGAUAGAGAGGAUGUUCUCCCAAUGACCUGUAGGGUGAAACGGAGCUUGAGACAACAAGUUCUUCCACAUAUAUAAUUUUUUUUGGGGUCUUUCAAUUUUCGUUCGUUAUAAAUAUGUAACGGGAAUUUUACUUUUGGUAUAUCAUUACUAUCCCCCAAUGUUCUGAGACUAUCUUCAUUUAGAAAAAUAUAUCGCAGCCCAUUUGAGAUAUUCUACAGGACCGGGACGACGAUCUAAAUCUUUUUCUUUUGUCAUCUGAGAACAUUUUUGAAAAAAAAAUUAAAGGCCUACAUUAGAUAAUCACAUGUCUUUGGAUUAGCUAGAACAAGAUAAUGCUAACCUACACAUUAUGGAAACCGAAUGUUCAUGGUACUGUUUAGCACAUCAAGCAGGUCCAAGUUGUUGUUUGCCAGUUUGUGCAGCCUAUCAAGUAAAAUAUCAUCGCAAUAGAAUAGGUCGUGUUAUACGUGUAUGGCAAAUUAGGUAACAGAUUAAUGGCGCUAAGCUUAAUUCAUGACAUGACUGCCAUUUAGGCUGGAAGUGUAACAAGAAAGCAUAUUCUUACAAUCCACCAUCCAAAUAAAAAGUGACCAGUAGAUACAACGGAGGACAUAGAUAUUUAUUUGAAUUAUUUAAACGCAUGCACGCAUGCCAUGAGAACCUCAUCACUCUCUGGUCAUAAGGAACGCAUCUCUAGCAACCAAAGAUGACAAACAUGCAUAUAAUUAGCCUCAUUGGUGGUCCAUGAAGCUCUCCCAGCCCCAUAUAUAUAUAUAGCUCCUUUGCUAUCAUGUACGUAGUAUAUAACAUGAGCAUCAGGGUAAGGAAAGUCAUCUCAAAUCCACACCAGUUACCCUCAAUAGAAACGGUGCUAAUGGCCCAGAACAAGACCAUGGCUCUGCUCCUUGCCACCCUUGUGGCGGUGGUUGCGGUAGUACGAGCCACCGAAGAGAAGGAUAUAGAAGAAGCUGUGUGCUCAGAGCAUUGCAACGACGAGGAAAAAGAAGGCACCAUCGACCACAAGCACUGUGUAGACAUCUGCAUCCUCACGAACAGGGAACUUUUUGGGGCCUUGGAGAGAGGAAUGAAGCCCUCGAUGGAGCAAUUCAGCGCUUUGUGCAAUGAGGGGUGUAGCAAAGAAUUUAAGGAGGAUCCUGCCACCAACAAGAAGUGCGUAGACAGUUGCAUCGUCGAUGCUAAGGAACUCAAUGGACACUUAGCGAAAGGUGGCGCUUCUAGUGUUCCCGCACGUGCAUGAUUGUGUCGAGCUGCACAUCUGUUCCUUCAUCCAUGAUCGAGGGACGAUACCCAUUAAUGGUUCCCACCCAGCGGUCGGCCUUGUAUUACAUUGUCCUGUUGUUCCUUUUGCCUCUUCAAUUGUUUCAUUAUUUGGUGUUCAUAACUUCUAUGUGAUCGAUCUGGUCUGUUGUUCUACCCAAUAUUGUUACUAAAAGCAUUUGUUAUCUUUAAUUGAUUAAAAUAGUUCCAGUUGUGCUUUGUCUUUUAACAUUCAUUAAUAUACGGUCUCAUAUUCCACUUUGAGUACGUGCAAUGUUAGUACAUAGAUAUAGUUCAUGCUUCCUUCCGCGCGUCCGGUGCGUGCCCUGUGAUCAUGCUCUCUUGGAAAACGCAACAACUAGGGCACCACGAUACACGUGCAUCUACUCCUAGUCCUACUGCUAUGAGAGAGCCAAAGAGAACACAAAAGGCACGCGGCCACGCUAAACUCUUCCAAACAAAACUAAUUCUCCGCUUUCAAGGCACGCUGCUUUUGAAUAGGUACAAACCGGUACCCUCAGUGAUGAUAUUAUACAUGUUUCUCUAGCGUAAAAAAUAUGUUUCAGUUAUUGCCUUGACAUGUUGCACCAAUGUGUUGCAUCGAUGAGUUUACAGGUAUGUUGUUUCACGAAUACAAUAUCGAAGGUUCCGAUUUGAAAAGUAUAGCUUUUAAGUGCAAGACUGAAACAAUCUUUUUCCUCGUUAGAGAACAACACCAUAUUAAGGCAAUAUAAUACAUACAUUUGAUUUCAUCAUUUUUUUUUAAUUUUUGAUAUUGGGCCUGACGAAAAUAAUGGAUCUUGUUUUAACAAAUUAAGCUAAACAUUUUGUUUCGCAAGCCUAUACAAAAGUUUCAGAAAUGCGAGUUUUAGUACAUAAUACACCAUUGUCGUGUGAUGACCGGUCAGGCCAUGAGUUUUUCUUUUGGACUGGAAGUUAUUUAAUUAAUCAUUUAUAGAAUUUAUAUUAAUGUGCAAGUCAUUUGACAUGUAAAGUAAAGGAGGGAACUAAACUUUCCUUGAAUAAACCAUGUUUGGAGUAUUUUCAUGUGAUUCGCCAUCCCUAAAAUAUUGUCUGAAAUUUUCUCGGAACUCAACCUUUAAUUUUAACGAUGCCAAUGGUUACGCCUUUUCUAGAACUCUUUGGCCAAAUAGUUACACGGAAAGGAUUGGUGCGUCUAGCUAGACAUAUAUGCUAACAUCUGAUGGCAUGUCGAGACAGGUGCACGCGUACAGUCAUUCCAUGGAUCGCAUACAAUAGCUACUAAAUCACAUUAGUUGUUGCAAAGCCAUGACAAUAAAAGAUAGAGAGGAUGUUCUCCCAAUGACCUGUAGGGUGAAACGGAGCUUGAGACAACAAGUUCUUCCACAUAUAUAAUUUUUUUUGGGGUCUUUCAAUUUUCGUUCGUUAUAAAUAUGUAACGGGAAUUUUACUUUUGGUAUAUCAUUACUAUCCCCCAAUGUUCUGAGACUAUCUUCAUUUAGAAAAAUAUAUCGCAGCCCAUUUGAGAUAUUCUACAGGACCGGGACGACGAUCUAAAUCUUUUUCUUUUGUCAUCUGAGAACAUUUUUGAAAAAAAAAUUAAAGGCCUACAUUAGAUAAUCACAUGUCUUUGGAUUAGCUAGAACAAGAUAAUGCUAACCUACACAUUAUGGAAACCGAAUGUUCAUGGUACUGUUUAGCACAUCAAGCAGGUCCAAGUUGUUGUUUGCCAGUUUGUGCAGCCUAUCAAGUAAAAUAUCAUCGCAAUAGAAUAGGUCGUGUUAUACGUGUAUGGCAAAUUAGGUAACAGAUUAAUGGCGCUAAGCUUAAUUCAUGACAUGACUGCCAUUUAGGCUGGAAGUGUAACAAGAAAGCAUAUUCUUACAAUCCACCAUCCAAAUAAAAAGUGACCAGUAGAUACAACGGAGGACAUAGAUAUUUAUUUGAAUUAUUUAAACGCAUGCACGCAUGCCAUGAGAACCUCAUCACUCUCUGGUCAUAAGGAACGCAUCUCUAGCAACCAAAGAUGACAAACAUGCAUAUAAUUAGCCUCAUUGGUGGUCCAUGAAGCUCUCCCAGCCCCAUAUAUAUAUAUAGCUCCUUUGCUAUCAUGUACGUAGUAUAUAACAUGAGCAUCAGGGUAAGGAAAGUCAUCUCAAAUCCACACCAGUUACCCUCAAUAGAAACGGUGCUAAUGGCCCAGAACAAGACCAUGGCUCUGCUCCUUGCCACCCUUGUGGCGGUGGUUGCGGUAGUACGAGCCACCGAAGAGAAGGAUAUAGAAGAAGCUGUGUGCUCAGAGCAUUGCAACGACGAGGAAAAAGAAGGCACCAUCGACCACAAGCACUGUGUAGACAUCUGCAUCCUCACGAACAGGGAACUUUUUGGGGCCUUGGAGAGAGGAAUGAAGCCCUCGAUGGAGCAAUUCAGCGCUUUGUGCAAUGAGGGGUGUAGCAAAGAAUUUAAGGAGGAUCCUGCCACCAACAAGAAGUGCGUAGACAGUUGCAUCGUCGAUGCUAAGGAACUCAAUGGACACUUAGCGAAAGGUGGCGCUUCUAGUGUUCCCGCACGUGCAUGAUUGUGUCGAGCUGCACAUCUGUUCCUUCAUCCAUGAUCGAGGGACGAUACCCAUUAAUGGUUCCCACCCAGCGGUCGGCCUUGUAUUACAUUGUCCUGUUGUUCCUUUUGCCUCUUCAAUUGUUUCAUUAUUUGGUGUUCAUAACUUCUAUGUGAUCGAUCUGGUCUGUUGUUCUACCCAAUAUUGUUACUAAAAGCAUUUGUUAUCUUUAAUUGAUUAAAAUAGUUCCAGUUGUGCUUUGUCUUUUAACAUUCAUUAAUAUACGGUCUCAUAUUCCACUUUGAGUACGUGCAAUGUUAGUACAUAGAUAUAGUUCAUGCUUCCUUCCGCGCGUCCGGUGCGUGCCCUGUGAUCAUGCUCUCUUGGAAAACGCAACAACUAGGGCACCACGAUACACGUGCAUCUACUCCUAGUCCUACUGCUAUGAGAGAGCCAAAGAGAACACAAAAGGCACGCGGCCACGCUAAACUCUUCCAAACAAAACUAAUUCUCCGCUUUCAAGGCACGCUGCUUUUGAAUAGGUACAAACCGGUACCCUCAGUGAUGAUAUUAUACAUGUUUCUCUAGCGUAAAAAAUAUGUUUCAGUUAUUGCCUUGACAUGUUGCACCAAUGUGUUGCAUCGAUGAGUUUACAGGUAUGUUGUUUCACGAAUACAAUAUCGAAGGUUCCGAUUUGAAAAGUAUAGCUUUUAAGUGCAAGACUGAAACAAUCUUUUUCCUCGUUAGAGAACAACACCAUAUUAAGGCAAUAUAAUACAUACAUUUGAUUUCAUCAUUUUUUUUUAAUUUUUGAUAUUGGGCCUGACGAAAAUAAUGGAUCUUGUUUUAACAAAUUAAGCUAAACAUUUUGUUUCGCAAGCCUAUACAAAAGUUUCAGAAAUGCGAGUUUUAGUACAUAAUACACCAUUGUCGUGUGAUGACCGGUCAGGCCAUGAGUUUUUCUUUUGGACUGGAAGUUAUUUAAUUAAUCAUUUAUAGAAUUUAUAUUAAUGUGCAAGUCAUUUGACAUGUAAAGUAAAGGAGGGAACUAAACUUUCCUUGAAUAAACCAUGUUUGGAGUAUUUUCAUGUGAUUCGCCAUCCCUAAAAUAUUGUCUGAAAUUUUCUCGGAACUCAACCUUUAAUUUUAACGAUGCCAAUGGUUACGCCUUUUCUAGAACUCUUUGGCCAAAUAGUUACACGGAAAGGAUUGGUGCGUCUAGCUAGACAUAUAUGCUAACAUCUGAUGGCAUGUCGAGACAGGUGCACGCGUACAGUCAUUCCAUGGAUCGCAUACAAUAGCUACUAAAUCACAUUAGUUGUUGCAAAGCCAUGACAAUAAAAGAUAGAGAGGAUGUUCUCCCAAUGACCUGUAGGGUGAAACGGAGCUUGAGACAACAAGUUCUUCCACAUAUAUAAUUUUUUUUUGGGGUCUUUCAAUUUUCGUUCGUUAUAAAUAUGUAACGGGAAUUUUACUUUUGGUAUAUCAUUACUAUCCCCCAAUGUUUUGGGACUAUCUUCAUUUAGAAAAAUAUAUCGCAGCCCAUUUGAGAUAUUCUACAGGACCGGGACGACGAUCUAAAUCUUUUUCUUUUGUCAUCUGAGAACAUUUUUGAAAAAUAAAUUAAAGGCCUACAUUAGAUAAUCACAUGUCUUUGGAUUAGCUAGAACAAGAUAAUGCUAACCUACACAUUAUGGAAACCGAAUGUUCAUGGUACUGUUUAGCACAUCAAGCAGGUCCAAGUUGUUGUUUGCCAGUUUGUGCAGCCUAUCAAGUAAAAUAUCAUCGCAAUAGAAUAGGUCGUGUUAUACGUGUAUGGCAAAUUAGGUAACAGAUUAAUGGCGCUAAGCUUAAUUCAUGACAUGACUGCCAUUUAGGCUGGAAGUGUAACAAGAAAGCAUAUUCUUACAAUCCACCAUCCAAAUAAAAAGUGACCAGUAGAUACAACGGAGGACAUAGAUAUUUAUUUGAAUUAUUUAAACGCAUGCACGCAUGCCAUGAGAACCUCAUCACUCUCUGGUCAUAAGGAACGCAUCUCUAGCAACCAAAGAUGACAAACAUGCAUAUAAUUAGCCUCAUUGGUGGUCCAUGAAGCUCUCCCAGCCCCAUAUAUAUAUAUAGCUCCUUUGCUAUCAUGUACGUAGUAUAUAACAUGAGCAUCAGGGUAAGGAAAGUCAUCUCAAAUCCACACCAGUUACCCUCAAUAGAAACGGUGCUAAUGGCCCAGAACAAGACCAUGGCUCUGCUCCUUGCCACCCUUGUGGCGGUGGUUGCGGUAGUACGAGCCACCGAAGAGAAGGAUAUAGAAGAAGCUGUGUGCUCAGAGCAUUGCAACGACGAGGAAAAAGAAGGCACCAUCGACCACAAGCACUGUGUAGACAUCUGCAUCCUCACGAACAGGGAACUUUUUGGGGCCUUGGAGAGAGGAAUGAAGCCCUCGAUGGAGCAAUUCAGCGCUUUGUGCAAUGAGGGGUGUAGCAAAGAAUUUAAGGAGGAUCCUGCCACCAACAAGAAGUGCGUAGACAGUUGCAUCGUCGAUGCUAAGGAACUCAAUGGACACUUAGCGAAAGGUGGCGCUUCUAGUGUUCCCGCACGUGCAUGAUUGUGUCGAGCUGCACAUCUGUUCCUUCAUCCAUGAUCGAGGGACGAUACCCAUUAAUGGUUCCCACCCAGCGGUCGGCCUUGUAUUACAUUGUCCUGUUGUUCCUUUUGCCUCUUCAAUUGUUUCAUUAUUUGGUGUUCAUAACUUCUAUGUGAUCGAUCUGGUCUGUUGUUCUACCCAAUAUUGUUACUAAAAGCAUUUGUUAUCUUUAAUUGAUUAAAAUAGUUCCAGUUGUGCUUUGUCUUUUAACAUUCAUUAAUAUACGGUCUCAUAUUCCACUUUGAGUACGUGCAAUGUUAGUACAUAGAUAUAGUUCAUGCUUCCUUCCGCGCGUCCGGUGCGUGCCCUGUGAUCAUGCUCUCUAGGAAAACGCAACAACUAGGGCACCACGAUACACGUGCAUCUACUCCUAGUCCUACUGCUAUGAGAGAGCCAAAGAGAACACAAAAGGCAAGCGGCCACGCUAAACUCUUCUAAACAAAACUAAUUCUCCGCUUUCAAGGCACGCUGCUUUUGAAUAGCUACAAACCAGUACCCUCAGUGAUGAUAUUAUACAUGUUUCUCUAGCGUAAAAAAUAUGUUUCAAUUAUUGCCUUGACAUGUUGCACCAAUGUGUUGCAUCGAUGAGUUUAUAGGUAUGUUGUUUCACGAAUACAAUAUCGAAGGUUCCGAUUUGAAAAGUAUAGCUUUUAAGUGCAAGACUGAAACAAUCUUUUUCCUCGUUAGAGAACAACACCAUAUUAAGGCAAUAUAAUACAUACAUUUGAUUUCAUCAUUUUUUUUAAUUUUUGAUAUUGGGCCUGAUGAAAAUAAUUGAUCUUGUUUUAACAAAUUAAGCUAAACAUUUUGUUUCGCAAGCCUAUACAAAAGUUUCAGAAAUGCGAGUUUUAGUACAUAAUACACCAUUGUCGUGUGAUGACCGGUCAGGCCAUGAGUUUUUCUUUUGGACUGGAAGUUAUUUAAUUAAUCAUUUAUAGAAUUUAUAUUAAUGUGCAAGUCAUUUGACAUGUAAAGUAAAGGAGGGAACUAAACUUUCCUUGAAUAAACCAUGUUUGGAGUAUUUUCAUGUGAUUCGCCAUCCCUAAAAUAUUGUCUGAAAUUUUCUCGGAACUCAACCUUUAAUUUUAACGAUGCCAAUGGUUACGCCUUUUUCUAGAACUCUUUGGCCAUAUAGUUACACGGAAAGGAUUGGUGCGUCUAGCUAGACAUAUAUGCUAACAUCUGAUGGCAUGUCGAGACAGGUGCACGCGUACAGUCAUUCCAUGGAUCGCAUACAAUAGCUACUAAAUCACAUUAGUUGUUGCAAAGCCAUGACAAUAAAAGAUAGAGAGGAUGUUCUCCCAAUGACCUGUAGGGUGAAACGGAGCUUGAGACAACAAGUUCUUCCACAUAUAUAAUUUUUUUUUGGGGUCUUUCAAUUUUCGUUCGUUAUAAAUAUGUAACGGGAAUUUUACUUUUGGUAUAUCAUUACUAUCCCCCAAUGUUCUGGGACUAUCUUCAUUUAGAAAAAUAUAUCGCAGCCCAUUUGAGAUAUUCUACAGGACCGGGACGACGAUCUAAAUCUUUUUCUUUUGUCAUCUGAGAACAUUUUUGAAAAAAAAAUUAAAGGCCUACAUUAGAUAAUCACAUGUCUUUGGAUUAGCUAGAACAAGAUAAUGCUAACCUACACAUUAUGGAAACCGAAUGUUCAUGGUACUGUUUAGCACAUCAAGCAGGUCCAAGUUGUUGUUUGCCAGUUUGUGCAGCCUAUCAAGUAAAAUAUCAUCGCAAUAGAAUAGGUCGUGUUAUACGUGUAUGGCAAAUUAGGUAACAGAUUAAUGGCGCUAAGCUUAAUUCAUGACAUGACUGCCAUUUAGGCUGGAAGUGUAACAAGAAAGCAUAUUCUUACAAUCCACCAUCCAAAUAAAAAGUGACCAGUAGAUACAACGGAGGACAUAGAUAUUUAUUUGAAUUAUUUAAACGCAUGGUAUCAUGUACGUAGUAUAUAACAUGAUAUAUAUAUAUAUAUAUAUAUAUAUAUAUAUAUAUAUAUAUAUAUAUAUAUAUAUAUAGCUCCUUUGCUAUCAUGUACGUAUUAUAUAACAUGAGCAUAUGGGUAAGGAAAGUCAUCUCAAAUCCACACCAGUUACCCUCAAUAUAAACGGUGCUAAUGGCCUAUAACUAGACCAUGGCUCUGCUCCAGUAUGAGCACUGACAUUUUGACCUUCAUGAUCACUGGAAGAAACCAGGUCUGUAUGAGGGAAAAGAAAUCAAACCGAGUCUUUCAGAAACAAAAUAUAGAAAUUUAAACAAGAUGGAAUAAAUUACAUGUUUUGUUACACAUAGUUGCAUCAACCCAAGCAUUUUGACACCAUCAAACCCAAGCAUAUGUGAAAAUUCUGCUGCAUAAUCCAGUGCAUUAUCACCUGCUAUAGUUUUCCAAUCCUUGAAGAUCCUUCAUAGAACCAGAAAAUAGGAUUAUGGCUGUUGCAGUUAAAAGAAUUUAUAGGUUGCUAUUGCAGUUAAAAGAAGUAACACGCUGAAAAAUCCAUAGAAUAAUUAAUGCAAUUUUAGAGGCAAUAUAAAUCCCAAGCAUACUCUGAUUUUGGCAUUCCUUUGCCGUAAGCCUUUUGAACCUCACUCCCAACCUGAAAAUAAGUGUUAAAAUAGAAAUUCUCAAUCAAUUAAUUGUGGAGGGCCUAGAAAGAAUUACAAACAACAGAAAAAUGUUUUUUUGUUAAUUUAUUUUGACAUGCACCAUCUCUGAAUUAAAUAUACCUUCAAAUAAGUGGCAACAGCCCGUCGCACCCUCGCCACGCCGCGCCCUCGUCGUGCCCGCCGCCGGCUGUCGGCCACCGCUGCUUCCGACUGUGCUCACGAGAUAAAGAGGAAGAGGGGAAGAGGGGAAAGAGAGAGGUGAGAGAGUAUGACAGGUGGGGCCGUGACUGAAAGGGCAAGAGUGACAUUUUUCAUGUCCGGGCCUAUACGUGGCUAUUUUCAUACAGCCUCUUGGCGUUUGCUAUCCGUUUAAUAUGCUUGGCAAAUGAACUUGAAUUAGUACAAGUGGAUCUCUAGAUUUGUAUGUAGAAGGUCGAGAUGUUUGCAAAUGACAUAUGAGUUGAGUUGAGUGAUCUAGAAUUUAGUUCCUACUGUGGAAUAUGGAUAGCUCCAGAAAUUGAUUUUUUUUAGUCCAUUUAUUUUAAGCUCUACUAUUUGUUAAGUUUAUUCUCAAAAUAUUUAAUUUAUAGUAUUAUCCACAAUAAUUGGAGUGCAAAACUGACCAAAUUAAAGUUGCCAUAUGUUCAUCUGGAAUCUGAAAGCUGGCCUUGGUCUGCUUCAUUUUGGUGUGACCGGAGCCCGUACUCACCGUUAGCUACCAUCCCCAACCUGCCCUAAUCUUUCUCCAGGUUUUGUUGCUAGCACUCGAUCUGUACACGCUGUGGGAUAAUUGCUUGUUGACAAGGAAGAUCAAAUCCUGAUGGUGGAAGAAUGGCACCCCCUGUGCUUCAGCUAACAAUCUGAUUAGUUUCCUAGAUGCUUGAUUAUUGAUUUUAUGUGUGAUCAUUUUAUUUUGUUUUUGUAUCAGGGUUGCAUAGAGUAUAAAAGCUUUGUCCCCCUAUGCUUGCACUGAGAGACUCUUCCGUAGCUGUCAUCGCAUACGGUGUUGCAAGUAUGUUCUCUAUUAUCUCCAUGUGAUUGCACGGGUAGCAUAUGUAUUCUCACUAACUGCUCUUACACUAACAAUUAUGAAUCAGACUAGCAGAGAGAGUUUCCAAGCAAAUUUGAUGGCACAUGUCCACGAAUUGUGAUUUUUAAUAGUUUGCAUUAUAAAUGCUCAUCUUGUCCUGCCUCCUUUUUCCCUUAAAUUUAUUUACAUGGUGCGGCAGUCAGUAUCCUAAACAGUUAAAAAUAGGACUCACUAAAUUGAAGAAAAAACAAAUAGCUCUACCUUGCUUAUGAUGGUCCUUCAUAUUGGAGCACAUCUUCCAUGGGUCUGUAGCAGCUCAUCCUGCUCAAGGUUGACUAUAUAUGAGUUUUGGUCAGUGAAGGGGAUGUAAUUAGUAAUGGAAUUAGAACAUAGGUAACACUCGAGUUAAUUAGUGCUUUGCUUGCAGUUUCAAUGCUUACACCACAAUUUCAUUCUCUGCAAUUACAUUCACAUUUUAAGCUUGGUCUUCUUCCCUACUCCCAAUCACCAAACUCGUUUUUUAAUGAAAACACAACUUGGUAUUUGCAAGUUCUCUAUCUGUUUUUUUGCAAUAGGAAAACUGUUACAUGUUCUAGACAAAAAUAUCAUUUUUAAGAACCGUAACAAGCUUAUGGAUGAACUUUGACAGGUUCCUUGACGAAAUUUGAAGAUGUAACCCGCCACCCACGUUUCGCAGCCAUCGCCCAUUAUGGACUUGCCAAGUUUCUGGUGGUGCCCAUUGUGGAUGAAAUUACUGAUUGCCUCAAGUACUCAAGUUUCAUGAGUAUAACAAAGAUUACAGCUUGGGUAUCUGUAAAGUGGUUAUGUUGAGAUAAAGGACAAUAAUGUGAGAUUUCUGUUUACAUCUCAAAUGUUCCCUUUAAUUUUUUUACGCUACUUUCUAACUUGGCCUUUCAGUUUAAAUCUCAUAAUAUGCAUUGUUUCUUUUAUCCAGGAUUGAAUCUUCUAGCCUCUACAAAACUGAAUUCAUAUUUCUCUCCUCUUCAUUGUUAGUGUAAACAAUACUCUAUUCAAUAUAUGUCGACGUGUCUGGCACGUGCACGUUAACUAGUGAUUAGUUGUGUACUAGUCGAUGGUACUAUGAGCAUGCAGUAAUUAGAUUUACUCGUUUCGAGAUUGGACAGCUACAUAUGCUAUGUAUAAUUUUUUUUCUCAGUAACACAGAUUUGUAGAAAAAAUAAAGGUAUGCCGCGUACUUGUUCUUCGUAUAUGUUCCGUAAACGCAGUUUCGUACUUUAGACUUUUCCAUUUCCGAGUAAUAUCAGGUAGUCAAAAUCUGCAGGCUCAAAUAUUACUUUAUUCAAAUUUUAUUACUAUAUAAUAAGUAGUACAUAAUACAUACUCACUGCAGUGAGUACCACAUAUAUAUAUAUAUAUAUAUUCACUAGGACCCCUUAUUACAAUUAUUUAUGCGGAGAGGGGCCAGACCGCCAGAGGAAGCGAAGCAGCGGGCGCCUUAUUUGGCGCAUGUGGCUAAUGCCUCUUUCAGGCAUCCAGGCGCCGGAGCCCAGCCACACUGGUUUUCGACGUGGUUGACGCACUCUUUAAUGUGACCUGGGAAGUGACUGGCUAUGUAAAUUAAUAUUGCUUUGCUCAGAUGGCCAAAGAUAAAUUUCUCUUCAUCGUUGGCGCGAUCACCUAAACAAAAGAAGAAAGAAAAAGCAUAUAUGCACAAGUAAGGACAGUAUAUAUAUAUAUAUAUAUAUAUAUAUAUAUAUAUAUAUAUAUAUAUAUAUAUAUAUAUAUAUAUAUAUAUAUAUGCAGAUGAAAAGAUCGAUACUACAGUACUACUUAAGAGAUGACAAGAUGAUGUACCUGUACCACCAGUCCCACGGGCGCUGCCUCCAGCGGCAGCGGCGGCCGCUACCUCCGUCAUUAGGAGAAUGACGAUAAAAACAGCAUACGCGACCUUCUUUGAGUCCAUUGUCUGACUCUUGUUAGUGGCUGGCAGUAAGUACAGUACGUGUGCGCUCGAUUUUGAUCCCUCCCCUGCCUGCUGGGUGCCCAUAUAAAUACUACUACUCCGAUCCACUUCACACAGCGACCAACAUUAAUUGAACAUGCCCCAUUAAUUAACUAGUAGUACAACUCCACAUGCCCGCUAGGAAUCAGUAUCUUCUGGAGUAGUAGUAGCUAGCUAGCUCCCGUGUAGCAUUAACUUUCUGCCUUCAAUCAUUUUACAUCAUUGAAGGAGAGUUUCAUUAUUUUGGUAUAAGAGCAAGUUAAAUCUGUACGCAGUUGGUGCAAAGAGAGUGACAACAUGUUGGGUAAAUUUGUUUAAACAGUUGGAAAUUAGCCAGGUAAAUAAUAUAUAACAGGAAUAAAAUUUAAGAUUGCUGGUGUCAAUAGAUAACAUUUGAUGUCCAGAACUAUGUAAUAAAUUCAACAUUUUCUAAAUAGCCUGUCAUUUUCGUUGGUCAGGAAAACAUCUUGAUUUGUUGACCACUAAUUUCAAUAUAAAUAUAUUCGUAAAAUAGAUGAAACUACAAUGGUACCAUCGAAGAAAUAUAUUCAAAAAUGAUAUUAAUGCUCGACAUUGUGUAAGUUUCUUUUCCUCUCAUUAGAUGGAGGUACGAGGUAUAUGCCUAUUUAGCCAAGCUUCCUUAUAAUUUUGUUCAAAUUUGAACUGGUCCCCAAUCUUUUUUUUUUUUGAAAGAAAUCAUCCUUUUCAAAUUCCAAAGGCUCCAGUACUGACCUCAGCCAUUGCCUAUCUCUAUUGUCAUGAAUGCCACGCUGUUCACCACCACUGUCCUGCAAAGGAUAGACAAAAUUCACAAAAUUAGCGCAUUUCUUUCAUAAAUAGCAAAAGUAGACCAAGAAUUCAACACUACUACAAAAACAGUGUCAUCCACCACCCAUCAAGUUAAGAUCUAAACCAUUAGUUGUUUCCACCAACAUUUCUAUUAUUGUAAUAACUAUUACAAGACCAUAAGAAAGGUUUCUCAUGUUUAACGCAGAUUAAGCAGUCUGAUGUGUUAUACCUUCAUUCCUAUCAACAAAGACAACAUUGACACAUAAUUUGCUUUGGCGCCAGUACCUAAUUAAGUAGGAUGCGAUUUUUUUUUUCAGUGUAAUGUUUAUCGUCUGCAAUUGGUGAUAUAUGGGAGCUACAAACUUGAUUCCGAGUUAGUUAUGAAGGCAUCAUUGGCAAAUCCUACCAUCGCAGGUGCAGUGCUUUUGACCUGAUUCACAAUCCUGAUAUCGCAUCUAGAAGGCAAAUCUUCGGACUAAAAAAAAGUUGAGCCAUUAUAAAUAGAAACGAAUGGUAAGUAAAUUCUUGUUUGCAAUGUUACAUGUUUGUUAAAAGUAUCACUGAUCCAAAUACAGUUUAAAUGUAUACCUGCUGUCCUCGCAACUUAAAUGCAUUUAAGCAACUACAGCAUCCUUUGUUUGUGAAUCAUCGCUCCACAAUUAUUACACCAGUAUAUCACAAGUAUUCUUUUCAUCCUGCCGUCAGUCAAUACGAGGUCAAUGUUUUUGAAGUACCUUUUUUACCAAUCAUCUUUGAUCAGAACUGACCUGAAUUGAAAUUUUGAAUGCAUCCAUACAACCGAAUUGGCUAGGGCAUGAUAGCAGUUAGCUGUUUGAAUAUGAUCUGGUGCUUAAAUUUAUGAUCUAGUGCCUAAAAUCUUAAUUGCAGCCUUUAAUGUGUCUAAUUUAUUCAAAACUGAACAUGUGACACAUAAUAGACCAUUAUAUUCCAAAUGCAGUUGAUUCUCUUACUGAUUCAUGUCACAAAUUUCAAAUCCAUACUAUUCUAGAGAUGGAGUUUCCAUCAAGAAGGUUAUGGUUCUUGCCACGCCAAUCUUAUGAAAACAAAUAUAUAGUACUAACAAUAAAAUAUUCGGCAAACAUUUUUUCCGAAUGUCAGCCAUUUACAAAAUUAAGCAUGAUCUCUUCGUACUGAUUUUUUUGUGGCUCAAAUUUGUUGGUAUUAUAGAUUAAAACAAAAAUCUAGGUUUACAGAACCAAUCUUAGCAUGGGGUUAUGAUCAUGUUUCUUACUAUGAGUGGCCGGAGUGGUUCAUGGUCUUCUGAGUUUUCCCUGAUGACCAAGGAUGAUAGCACCACGUUGAAGACGAUAGGAUCUUAUUUAUUCUUUUGCCUUGAAUAGCUCCUGCACAGCAUACAAUGAGAAUCAUCGUUUUGUAAACUUAAUCAGAGUAAGAACAGCAAUACCAAAGUGAUAUUUGCAAUGCAGAUGAUUCUCAAAGUUCAAUUCUCAAUCUCCACUUAAAGCAACAUAAAAAUGUACUACCAAAGUCUAUCACAUCACAAGUUCCCAACCAAAGGAGAAAUGGGAAUUAUAAUACAUGAAUAAAAUAUAGCCCCAAAAUCAGAAAGACAGUUUUUUUUUUUUUUUUUUUUUUUUUGAAAUUCCAAUAGCUCGGCAUUCUUGAAAACACUAUAAAUCAGAGCAUGGUCAUUUAAUGCUUGGACUAUAGCAAAAAAUAGAAAUAUUCAGAGUAAAUGACUAUUAAGCAAAGAAUGUUAUGAUUUCUAAUAUAACAAAGAUGGGAAUAUGUAGAGAACUUUCGAGUUUCGUUUUUCAUCAAGACCUCAACCAAACUGCUACAAAAUAUGUGGUACUAACUACUAAAAUAGGAGAAUCCUUCAUUGAUAAAAAAAAAUCUAAAAAGAUAUUGUAGGUAGAAGCAGAAUUACAGCAACCAUGUGCUUGAUCUUCCUCACAAGCAACUCACAGUGCUUCAUCCACAACAUUUCAAAGAUAGUAGCAUACCACUAAAUAGUGCCUCUUUAAUCAUACCAACAAAUGUGAUAUUAUUACCAGGAUCCCACAACGUGAUGACACUGUCAGCUGCAACCAAAAAACAGAUCCCUCACUUGAAAAAGUUGCGAAUGUCAUAGGUUUAUUCCUGCAAUUUUUUACUUUUCUAUGUCAUCAUUUACAUCAUUUGCCAGAAAUGGCAAAUCAUUUUAUGGCAGCCUAAGCACGUGGUAUACAAGUGCCAACAGUAUAUAUGGUAUGGCAUCCUUGACCAUUAAAUAUUAGAGGUAUUGUUUAGAGGAAAUUAAAUAAUCAAAUCAACUCACUUGUAUGAACCAACCAAUUGACAUCCCCAACCAGAUUGUUUUUUUUUUCAUCACUUGGUUGCGAAAGCAUACUUUGGACCCAAACCUACAGAUUAAUUGGUCACAAGAGAAGCAAAUGAAGACCUCACGGCUUGAGCCGUGUUUUUUCCAGGGCGGGAAGCAACAAUAGAAAUAGCAACAUUGCUGUGUGAAAGAACUAAACCAAAUGAUAGUAAAAACACAAGAAAUAUAUUCCAUUUGACCUUAUAAACAUGUGCCAACCUAUGCGGCAGGUUGAAGAGUACAUAUAUAGUAACAAUUUGAGAGGUAGAGACAAAACAAAGUUAGAACAUCUAAAAUAAAAGUCCAUAUGCACCUUUCAUUAGAGGCUUAGAGUAUUGAAAAAAAAAAUCCCAAUCUAUCAGCUUUCAGGAGAUGCGAUAGCCUGCACAACCCAAAGCAUGACGGUCAAAAGACGAGACAAUCCAAUACUCAGGUUGCCUUGACCAACACAAGAUAUUAUUUAAGUUCAUACCCUUGCAACAGGAAGAGGAACAUCGAUGUACCGUGGCCAUUCGCCUUGACCAACACAAGAUAUUAUUUAAGUUCAUACCCUUGCAAUAGGAAGAGGAACAUCGAUGUACCGUGGCCAUUCACAUAUUGUCUCAUACAUCAGCUCAGCCUGUAACAUCCAGAACAUUUUUAUAUAAAAAAACUCUGACCAACCAACUUGAAGAUUCGUUCAUUGCUGCAUAACAAAAUGUUGUGCAUGAUAAUUACCAGAUCAUGAACAGUAUAAAUCUCUGGUCCACCAAGUCCGUAGCUCUUUCCCAUGCUGGUGCCAUCAUCCUUGAGGGAGUUGACAAUAGCAGCAGCAACAUCCACAACAUAAACAGGCUGAAUCCUGCAAAAACCAAAAGGUUGCAUUCAUGUAAUCUCACCUGCUGUGGAAGUUUAAGAUGCAGGUCCCCAUUGAUUGCCUAUGACUGAUUAAAAGCCGUAAUGGCUUAUUAGUGAUAAAAAAAGUAAUUUAUGAGUAAAACUUUUACAUGUGUCCUUAGUGGCUUAAAUAAAAGCUAAUGCUGAAAAAGAAACUACGUUGUAAAAGCAUCAAAACCAACUUCAAAAUCAAGUUUUAAAAUUCAAAUCAAGCCAUAGGGCAAAUGAUGAGGCCUGUAUUCUCUGAUCAAUUAAUGUUCUAGACUAAAUUUUGAGUCAAGGGAUUACGACAACAGCCAACAGGAAAGCUCAAUUACUUUGUAGACCGGGAAUCAAUUUUUAGCAAACUGUACCCAUCUGUUCAAAAUCCGAUCUUCUGUGCCAAUCAUAGUUGCAGGCCUCAUAAUUGUAGCCUGUUGAUCCAUGCAACACAGAAGUUUGGUUAAAGUAACCGCCAACAUAAAUGGGACAUGUUUGCUUCUAACUUUGGGUAGUAUAGAAACAGAAGUUCAGUAUUGCCUAAUGCAGAUGAUCACCUCAGGAAAUUCCUUCAACACAGAUUCUUCCCCAGCAGCCUUGGCCCUCAGCAUUCUAGAAGAAGAGGCCGAUGCUCCUAGGCAAGAAACCUGGAUAAAUCUCAUGAAACCCCCAUGCUCCUUUGAAACCUGUGCAUAGUCCAUAACACAGUUAAUAGCCAGCCACAAAAGAAGUCUUGAUGGGAAUUAACACAAAAGAAGUGUUAAUAGCCCGCUGCUCUAAUCUCUCCUCUUUUAUCUGCUCUUAUCUCUCCUCUUUUAUCUUCCUCAAAUAUGUUUAUAGCUGGCUUAUAGUCUGCUACUGUAUCUGCUCUAAGAAGAGUGAAGGUGUCAUGUGGGGCGACAUGUGCAGCAAGCAGCAAAGAUGGAAGCCAGGCACAUGCGCAGCAAGCAGCAACAACACAAUCAAGGAUUAGAGAUUUGGAAAGUUUUUCAACAAGGAAAGUCUUAAUUAGGGAGAAAUAAUGAUUAUUUCCUUGUACUAGGGAGGUCAAGUGCCCAUAUAAACUACUAGAUGUGGUUGCGCGGCGUGCCGUGAGAGUUGUCACAAAUUUGAAUAAAUUGAUUUAUAACUUUUUUUUACAUUAGGUUUGUACUGUUAUCGAUAAAUAUUUAAGUUUUUCUUUAAGUUAAGAAUUGUUGCUUUACUUGAAAGAUGGUAAUUUUUCAUAGCUUUUUUUUUUGAAAAUAUGUAUAAUAAGUAUUUGUUUGCACGUUUUCCAAUACUGAAUACGCUUCUUUAUUUACCUUUAUUUUUACUGACCAAUCAAUGAGUUGUUGCCGGCUCUGUGAUAAUCUUUUGAACUUGAGGGCCUCAGCAUUCUGUUAGGACCUAGCACUGAGUGUAUAGAACUCGUAUAUGAAUAGUUGUAAAAAUGUAAUUAUAAGUUUUAAAUAUUGCAUUGAUAAUACAUAGAAUCCAAGGCGCAUUCCUAGACGGAUAUAGUAUUUUAUAGACAUAGUUAACAAAUCUAAAAGUUGUAGUUUUGAUAAGUAGUGGAUGCAGAGUAUGUGCAAGAAGGUGGGGGUUAAUAAAGAUGAGGUAGUUUUUUUUUUCCACCUGUAGUAAUUGUGGCUAUGAAGUGUUUGUUUGCAAACAAUACAGUGGGCUGUUGUGGUGCUAACAUCUUUUUUUAAUUAGUAAUUGUAUGCGAAUGUGGAAAGUGUAGUGUAUCCGAACAUUAUUUUG
rnacentral:lncRNA from 1 species